AGCCAUCCGAUCGCCGCUUCACGAUUAUCGCGAGCGACUCGUAAAACAUCAUCGGGAGAGAUCGCUGAAUUUGCAAUCGACGCGUCGCGUGCCGGCCUUCCAGUGUAGCCACGUUUGUGUCGGAUAGGAUUAACCCUUUGCACUCGAGAAUAUUUUUCUCAGCAAAUUGCGGCUGUAGCCGUUCUGCGUACUUUCAUUGACACUUUGACUGACACCGUGUAAGUUGAUUUCGUGUACGGUUUUCCAUGACCUGGACACUCGGAAGAGACGAUUAAAAGAGAAGCUGCGUUUCCGGGCAGGAUGUUAAAGCUAAAAGUGUACGGCGAUGGGUUAAACAAGUUAGAUAACGUUCACACGGUUUUAUGUAACGAGGGAAAGAGAUAGUGUCUCGAGUGCGUGCUGCAUAAUCGACGUCGUGCUCGUCGUUCAAAGAGAAAAAGAUGUCUCCGUCGAGUGAGUGUAGUUCACGUUAACAGCAGGUUUAUAAACAUUUGUUCCAUUGUUCCUAGAGAGGUUGACGUUCGUUCGUCUAGAUCUUCGGCGUUAGAGGUUUGGAAAUGGCCGAUUAACUUUGACUGCCAAGUAUACACUCGUCGAAACUCCUGCGCGAUCGAAGCAAUUUUCUUAAUAGCGCUGAAACUAAGGAGUCAAUAUUCUUCGUCGCGACCAGUGUCUCCUGUGCGCGGAGAAUUGAUCAUCAUCAU